rnacentral:tRNA from 1 species
GAGGGUAUAGCUCAAUGGUAGAGCGCAUGCUUAGCAUUCACAAGGUCUUGGGUUCAAUCCCAGUACCUCCA